rnacentral:rRNA from 1 species
GACGAACGCUGGCGGCGUGCUUAACACAUGCAAGUCGAACGGAAAGGCCUGCUUUCCCUUGUGGAUUGCGGGUACUCGAGUGGCGAACGGGUGAGUAACACGUGAGUGAUCUGCCCCCAACUUGGGUAUAAGCCUGGGAAACUGGGUCUAAUUCCCGAUAGGACUGCAGGGUGGUGCCUGUGGUGGAAAACGAUUUUCUAGUGGUUGGGGAUGAGCUCGCGGCCUAUCAGCUUGUUGGUGGGGUAAUGGCCUACCAAGGCGGCGACGGGUAGCCGGCCUGGGAGGGUGGACGGCCACAUUGGGACUGAGAUACGGCCCAGAAGCCUACGGGAGGCAGCAGUGGGGAAUAGUGCACAAUGGGCGGAAGCCUGAUGCAGCGACGCCGCGUGGGGGAUGACGGCCUUCGGGUUGUAAACUCCUUUCGACCGCGAGGAAGCCACCUGGUUGGAAGGGUGGUGACGGUAGUGGUAGAAGAAGCACCGGCUAACUACGUG